CCUACGGGUGGCAGCAGUGGGGAAUAUUGCACAAUGGGGGAAACCCUGAUGCAGCGACGCCGCGUGAAGGAAGAAGUAUUUCGGUAUGUAAACUACUAUCAGCAGGGAAGAAAAUGACGGUACUUGACUCAGCAGCACCGGCUAACUACGUGCCAGCAGCCGCGGUAAUACGGAGGGGGCAAGCGUUAUCCGGAUUUACUGGGUGUAAAGGGAGCGUAGGCGGUGCAGCAAGUCAGAUGUGAAAGCCCGGGGCUCAACUACGGGACUGCUUUUGAAACUGUUGAACUAGAUUGCAGGAGAGGUGAGUGGAAUUCCUGGUGUAGCGGUGAAAUGCGUAGAUAUCAGGAGGAACACCGGUGGCGAAGGCGGCCUACUGGACUAUAAAUGACGCUGAGGUUCGAAAGCGUGGGGAGCAAACAGGAUUAGAUACCCCAGUAGUC
rnacentral:rRNA from 1 species